GCGCCCAUAGCUCAAUUGGAUAGAGUAUCUGACUACGAAUUAGAAGGUUGCAGGUUCAACUCCUGCUGGGCGCACCA
rnacentral:tRNA from 1 species